AUUGCCCUGCGCCCCGAGCGGUCCCACCGCCCGGCAAAACACUGAGCAAGCCGCUGCGCUCACCUUGCUUGACACACUUGAGCCGGAGGGGGUCCUUGCAGUGUUUGAUCACGGCCAGCACGUCCCUGAUGGUGAGCCCCGCCACGGGGGUCUCGUUCACCUCCAGCAGCAGCUCCUCCGACACCAACUUACUGCCGCUCUCAUAGGCCACCUUUCCGGGCUUCACCUCCCCCAGCAGAGGAAGCGGUGGUGGUGGCGUCGGCGGCGGCGGCGGCGGCAGCCGGAGCUAGCAGUAACCGAGCUGUAAAUUCUGUUACAGUAACAGAAUGUAGGAGAGCACAUAUCAAUGAAGAAAAGACAAAAUAUACUUAUCCAUGAAACUGAGGUUAGGAAACCAGUGUCUUCAAGAGCUGGGGACAGCUCUUCAUAAACACUGGGUCUAUGCAGACUUGAGAGAUGGUGAUGACAUGCCUAUAGCACAGCUGAUGAAAGAGAAGCCAUCUUGCUGCUAUUUGAUAAACAUGAAGAUAAAAGCUUUCCUUUAGAGAUGGUGGAGCAAAAAGAUAAAAGGGGCCUAGACUCCCUACCUUCACACUUUCUGCUAUGAAAGCAUUGCUAUUAUUAUAAGGUUAAUCUGCCAAAACAGACUUCCAUGUCAUAUGCUUAAAUGCAUCAAAAUUCAUACAAUAUACACUAAAUUGGUAAAAGUAUCCAUUUUAAAGGAUUAAUCUGAGGGACCCACAGACACUUAACAUAAUCAAUCAACUCUCAGAAAAAAAAAUCAGUUAUUUCAUUGUGAUUUUGAAGCUGAUCCUUUAUGAUCUUUUAGUUAUCAAACUGUUAAAUACAUUUUAACUUUCAAAUUUUAUGAAUAAAGGAGAUGAAUCCUGUCAUUUUCUCAGUG